AACGAACGCUGGCGGCAUGCCUAACACAUGCAAGUCGAACGAUCCCUUCGGGGAUAGUGGCGCACGGGUGCGUAACGCGUGGGAACCUGCCCUUAGGUUCGGAAUAACUCAGAGAAAUUUGAGCUAAUACCGGAUAAUGUCUUCGGACCAAAGAUUUAUCGCCUUUGGAUGGGCCCGCGUUGGAUUAGCUAGUUGGUGGGGUAAAGGCCUACCAAGGCGACGAUCCAUAGCUGGUCUGAGAGGAUGAUCAGCCACACUGGGACUGAGACACGGCCCAGACUCCUACGGGAGGCAGCAGUGGGGAAUAUUGGACAAUGGGCGAAAGCCUGAUCCAGCAAUGCCGCGUGAGUGAUGAAGGCCCUAGGGUUGUAAAGCUCUUUUACCCGGGAUGAUAAUGACAGUACCGGGAGAAUAAGCCCCGGCUAACUCCGUG
rnacentral:rRNA from 1 species